CCCAUGCAGGUGUCCUCGCUGGAUCCUGGAAACUACCCUAGCCCUUGUCCCAAAUAAUUGGACAAGUGAUGAACUUUUGCUAACAGAAUUUGGCAUCCAUGGGUGGGCUCAUCAGUGCCCUGGUGGAAUGGCACCCCACAACUGCUGGAAGAGGCAGGGAGCAGCCCUGGGUCAAAGCCGUGGGUCUUUGCAGAACCCCUGCCAGAAGCCCUGCCAGAACCC